rnacentral:rRNA from 2 species
CCCUGGCUCAGAUUGAACGCUGGCGGCAUGCUUUACACAUGCAAGUCGAACGGUAACAGGCCGCAAGGUGCUGACGAGUGGCGAACGGGUGAGUAAUGCAUCGGAACGUGCCCAGUCGUGGGGGAUAACGCAGCGAAAGCUGCGCUAAUACCGCAUACGAUCUAUGGAUGAAAGCGGGGGACCGUAAGGCCUCGCGCGAUUGGAGCGGCCGAUGUCAGAUUAGGUAGUUGGUGGGGUAAAGGCUCACCAAGCCGACGAUCUGUAGCUGGUCUGAGAGGACGACCAGCCACACUGGGACUGAGACACGGCCCAGACUCCUACGGGAGGCAGCAGUGGGGAAUUUUGGACAAUGGGCGCAAGCCUGAUCCAGCAAUGCCGCGUGCAGGAAGAAGGCCUUCGGGUUGUAAACUGCUUUUGUACGGAACGAAAAGGCUCUGGUUAAUACCUGGGGCACAUGACGGUACCGUAAGAAUAAGCACCGGCUAACUA